AUUGAACGCUGGCGGUAGGCCUAACACAUGCAAGUCGAACGGCAGCACAGUACGUGCUUGCGCAUACGGGUGGCGAGGGGCGGGCGAGUGCUAAAUACCUCGCUAUCUACUUUUUAGUGGGGGAGAAAGCGGGGGCUAAUACCCCAAUACUGCAGACGACGUACGGGUGAGAGCUUCGGACCUUCCGCUCUCGCACGAUCCGAUGUCGGAUUAGCUAGUUGGCGGGGUAAAGGCCUACCAAGGCGACGAUCCGUAGCUGGUCUGAGAGGAUGAUCAGUCACACUGGAACUGAGACACGGUCCAGACUCCUACGGGAGGCAGCAGUGGGGAAUAUUGGACAAUGGGCGCAAGCCUGAUCCAGCCAUGCCGCGUGUGUGAAGAAGGCCUUCGGGUUGUAAAGCACUUUUGUUUGGAAAGAAGGGCAGCAGGUUAAUACCUCGCUGUUCUGACGUUACCAAAAGAAUAAGCACCGGCUAACUUCGUG
rnacentral:rRNA from 1 species